GAAAUGCGAUGUGUGGAACUAAGCGUGCGACAAGUAGGGCGGGACACGAGAAAUCCUGUCUGAAUAUGGGGGGACCAUCCUCCAAGGCUAAAUACUCGUAAUCGACCGAUAGUGAACCAGUACCGUGAGGGAAAGGCGAAAAGAACCCCGGGAGGGGAGUGAAAUAGAUCCUGAAACCGUGUGCAUACAAACAGUAGGAGCGGACUUGUUCCGUGACUGCGUACCUUUUGUAUAAUGGGUCAGCGACUUACAUUCAGUGGCAAGGUUAACCAGAUAGGGAAGCCGUAGAGAAAUCGAGUCCGAAUAGGGCGAUAGUCGCUGGGUGUAGACCCGAAACCAAGUGAUCUACUCAUGGCCAGGAUGAAGGUGCGGUAACACGCACUGGAGGUCCGAACCCACUAAUGUUGAAAAAUUAGGGGAUGAGCUGUGGGUAGGGGUGAAAGGCUAAACAAACUUGGAAAUAGCUGGUUCUCUCCGAAAACUAUUUAGGUAGUGCCUCAAGUAUCACCAUCGGGGGUAGAGCACUGUUAUGGCUAGGGGGUCAUCGCGACUUACCAAACCAUUGCAAACUCCGAAUACCGAUGAGUGCGAGCUUGGGAGACAGACGUCGGGUGCUAACGUCCGGCGUCAAGAGGGAAACAACCCAGACCGCCAGCUAAGGUCCCAAAGAUUGGCUAAGUGGAAAACGAAGUGGGAAGGCUAAAACAGUCAGGAUGUUGGCUUAGAAGCAGCCAUCAUUUAAAGAAAGCGUAAUAGCUCACUGAUCGAGUCGUCCUGCGCGGAAGAUGUAACGGGGCUAAGCCAGUCACCGAAGCUGCGGAUAU
rnacentral:rRNA from 1 species